AUACGAGGUCCAGAGUCACCUCUGAGAAUAUGUAUCUCUUCGGUGCUAGGAUUGCUCGAAAAUGAAUUAGGUACUUUAUGCAAACAGUUCUUGCGUUAUGCUCAUCUGUUUCACCUCCGUUUCUGACAAAA
rnacentral:snoRNA from 1 species